rnacentral:rRNA from 1 species
GAACGCUAGCUACAGGCUUAACACAUGCAAGUCGAGGGGAAACGACAUCGAAAGCUUGCUUUUGAUGGGCGUCGACCGGCGCACGGGUGAGUAACGCGUAUCCAACCUGCCCACCACCUGGGGAUAACCUUGCGAAAGUAAGACUAAUACCCAAUGAUAUCUCUAGAAGACAUCUGAAAGAGAUUAAAGAUUUAUCGGUGAUGGAUGGGGAUGCGUCUGAUUAGCUUGUUGGCGGGGUAACGGCCCACCAAGGCGACGAUCAGUAGGGGUUCUGAGAGGAAGGUCCCCCACAUUGGAACUGAGACACGGUCCAAACUCCUACGGGAGGCAGCAGUGAGGAAUAUUGGUCAAUGGGCGAGAGCCUGAACCAGCCAAGUAGCGUGCAGGAUGACGGCCCUAUGGGUUGUAAACUGCUUUUAUAAGGGAAUAAAGUGAGUCUCGUGAGACUUUUUGCAUGUACCUUAUGAAUAAGGACCGGCUAAUUCCGUGCCAGCAGCCGCGGUAAUACGGAAGGUCCGGGCGUUAUCCGGAUUUAUUGGGUUUAAAGGGAGCGUAGGCCGGAGAUUAAGCGUGUUGUGAAAUGUAGAUGCUCAACAUCUGAACUGCAGCGCGAACUGGUUUCCUUGAGUACGCACAAAGUGGGCGGAAUUCGUGGUGUAGCGGUGAAAUGCUUAGAUAUCACGAAGAACUCCGAUUGCGAAGGCAGCUCACUGGAGCGCAACUGACGCUGAAGCUCGAAAGUGCGGGUAUCGAACAGGAUUAGAUACCCUGGUAGUCCGCACGGUAAACGAUGGAUGCCCGCUGUUGGUCUGAAUAGGUCAGCGGCCAAGCGAAAGCAUUAAGCAUCCCACCUGGGGAGUACGCCGGCAACGGUGAAAC